rnacentral:rRNA from 2 species
AAAAUAGGUCAAGCUACUAAGAGCGCACAGAGGAUGACUUGGCAUCAGGAGCUGAUGAAGGACGUGAUAAGCUGCGAUAAGCUACGGGUAGACGCAAAUAGUCAUGGAUCCGUAGAUUUCCGAAUGGGGGAACCCACAUAGUGAGAGACUAUGUAUCUAGUAAUGAAUUAAUAGUUAUUAGAAGGUAGACGCAGGGAACUGAAACAUCUAAGUACCUGUAGGAAGAGAAAGAAAUAUCGAUUCCCUAAGUAGUGGCGAGCGAAAGGGGAAGAGCCCAAACCCAAGGAAACUUGGGGGUUGAGGGGGUCUAUAAUUGAGAAAGUAGGUUAGAUGAAUAUAGAUGGAAAUCUAAGCCGAAGAGUGUAAUAGCCACGUAAUUUAAAACUGAAAUUGAGAGAGACUUACCCAGAGUACCACGAGACACGAGGAACCUUGUGGGAAGCAGGGUGGACCACCACCCAAGGCUAAAUACUACCUGAUGACCGAUAGAGGAGUAGUACCGUGAGGGAAAGGUGAAAAGAACCCCGGGAGGGGAGUGAAAUAGAACCUGAAACUGUGUGCUUACAACCGCUCAGAGCACGUAAUAUGUGUGAUGAGGUGCUUUUUGUAGAACGAGCCAACGAGUUACGAUGUGUAGCGAGAUUAAGGUCUUAAGGACUGUAGUCGAAGAGAAAUCGAGUGUUAAUAGCGCGAAUAGUUGCAUGUUGUAGACCCGAAACCGGGUGACCUAUCCAUGAUCAGGUUGAAGCGAAGGUAAAACUUCGUGGAGGACCGAACCACGUUGGUGUUGAAAAACCAUGGGAUGAAUUGUGGAUAGCGGAGAAAUUCCAAUCGAACUCGGAGAUAGCUGGUUCUCCCCGAAAUAGCUUUAGGGCUAGCGUUAAUACAUAGAAUAUAGGAGGUAGAGCACUAAAUGGGCUAGGGGCCGUAAGGUUACCGAACCUUAUUAAACUCCGAAUGCCUAUAUUUGUUUAUUAGCAGUCAGUCUAAGAGUGAUAAGAUUCUUGGACAAAAGGGAAAAAGCCCAGAUCACCAGCUAAGGUCCCAAAGUAUGAGUUAAGUGGUAAAGGAUGUGGAGAUUCUAAGACAACUAGGAUGUUGGCUUAGAAGCAGCCAUUCAUUUAAAGAGUGCGUAAUAGCUCACUAGUCGAGAGUUUCUGCGCCGAAGAUAAACGGGGCUAAAACUCAUCACCGAAGCUGUGGAAUGGAAACAUUGGUAGGGGAGCGUUGUAUAAGAGUUGAAGCUAAAGCGGGAGCAAUAGUGGAUUUUAUACAAGAGAGAAUGUUGGCAUAAGUAGCGAGAAUUAGGUGAGAAUCCUAAUGGUCGAAAGCCUAAGGUUUCCUGGGGAAGGUUCGUCCGCCCAGGGUAAGUCGGGACCUAAGCUGAGGUCGAAAGGCGUAAGUGAUGGAUAAUCGGUAGAUAUUCCGAUACCACUAAUUAUUGAUUGAUCGAUGGAGGGAAGCAGAAGGAUAGGAUAGCCAACAGAUGGAGGUUGGUCUAAGAGAAGAGAUAGCAUGUAGAGGCAAAUCCAUAUAUGCGAUUAAGUUGAUUCUUUAUGGGGAGACGAAUGAGUUGAAGUAUCUGAUUUCACACUGACGAGAAAAACUUCUAGGUAGAUAAUUAGUGCCCGUACCACAAACCGACACAGGUAGGCGAGGUGAGAAUCCAAAGACCAGCGGAAGAAUUGCAGUUAAGGAACUCGGCAAAUUGACCCCGUAAGUUAGCGAGAAGGGGUGCCAUAGAGAUAUGGUCGCAGAGAAUAGGCCCAAGCAACUGUUUAUCAAAAACACAGGUCUCUGCAAAAGCGAAAGCUUAAGUAUAGGGGCUGACGCCUGCCCGGUGCUGGAAGGUUAAGGGGAGCUGUUAUCGUAAGAGAAGCAGUGAACUUAAGCCCCAGUAAACGGCGGCCGUAACUAUAACGGUCCUAAGGUAGCGAAAUUCCUUGUCAGGUAAGUUCUGACCCGCACGAAUGGCGUAAUGACUUGGGCGCUGUCUCAACUGCAAAUCCGGCGAAAUUGUAGUGCAAGUGAAGAUGCUUGCUACCCGCGAUUGGACGGAAAGACCCCGUAGAGCUUUACUGUAAUUUAGCAUUGAGUUUUGGUAAUAUUUGUACAGGAUAGGUGGGAGACUGGGAAUCUAGAUCGUCAGAUUUAGAGGAGUCGAUGUUGGGAUACCACCCUGAUAUUGCUGAAAUUCUAACUGGGAUCCAUGAACUGGGUACAGGACACUGUUAGAUGGGCAGUUUGACUGGGGCGGUCGCCUCCAAAAGAGUAACGGAGGCGUUCAAAGGUUUCUUCAGAAGGGAUGGAAAUCCUUCGUAGAGCGUAAAGGCAUAAAGAAGCUUGACUGCGACACCUACAAGUGGAGCAGGUACGAAAGUAGGACUUAGUGAUCCGGUGGUACCUCGUGGGAGGGCCAUCGCUCAACGGAUAAAAGCUACCUCGGGGAUAACAGGCUGAUCUCCCCCAAGAGUUCACAUCGACGGGGAGGUUUGGCACCUCGAUGUCGGCUCGUCGCAUCCUGGGGCUGAAGUAGGUCCCAAGGGUUGGGCUGUUCGCCCAUUAAAGCGGCACGCGAGCUGGGUUCAGAACGUCGUGAGACAGUUCGGUCCCUAUCCGUCGCGGGCGCAGGAGAUUUGAGAGGAGCUGUCCUUAGUACGAGAGGACCGGGAUGGACUAACCAAUGGUGAACCAGUUGUUCCGCCAGGAGCACGGCUGGGUAGCUAAGUUAGGAAGGGAUAAACGCUGAAGGCAUCUAAGCGUGAAGCCCACCUUAAGAUAAGAUCUCCCAUAGCGUAAGCUAGUAAGACCCCUUGAAGAACACAAGGUUGAUAGGUAAAAGGUGUAAGUAUGGUAACAUAUUUAGCUGAUUUAUACUAAUAGGUCGAGGGCUUGACCAAAAUUAGCA